rnacentral:rRNA from 1 species
UACGUAGGUGGCAAGCGUUAUCCGGAAUUAUUGGGCGUAAAGCGCUCGCAGGCGGUUUCUUAAGUCUGAUGUGAAAGCCCACGGCUCAACCGUGGAGGGUCAUUGGAAACUGGGAGACUUGAGUGCAGAAGAGGAGAGUGGAAUUCCACGUGUAGCGGUGAAAUGCGUAGAGAUGUGGAGGAACACCAGUGGCGAAGGCGACUCUCUGGACCGGUACUGACGCUGAUGCGCGAAAGCGUGGGGAGCAAACGGG